rnacentral:snoRNA from 1 species
CUUCUCUCAACUCUAGACUUGGCUUUACCUGUGUGACCUUCAUAAUUGGGAGAAAGAGAAAAUAUCUCCUUGGGACUACAUAUUGGCCUUUUGGUGGCCUCUCUUUCCUUGAGGGGUACUACUUAC